rfam:TPA: Bos taurus chromosome 21, whole genome shotgun sequence.
UCCCAAGUGGCUCAGUGGUAAAGUAUCUGCCUGCCAAUGCAGGAGACACAGGUUCACUCCCUGAGUUGGGAA